CAGUAAGCGGAGGAAAAGAAACUAACCAGGAUUCUCCUAGUAACGGCGAGCGAACGGAGAUUAGCCCAUCACCGAAGGCUGAGCGUUGUUGCGCUUAAGCCAAUGUGGUGUUAAGGCGUGCACCUGGGGGCAGGCCACUGCUGGAAGUCCAACUCCGAUUAUGGCUUUGGAUUAUGCCCAGAGCGGGUGAAAGGCCCGUACCAGCAGUGUUGCGAUGUUACGUCCCUCAGAUGUGUAUGCUUUCGAGUCGGAUUGCUUGAGAAUGCAGUCCAAAGUGGGUGGUAAACUCCAUCCAAGGCUAAAUACUGGCACGAGUCCGAUAGUAGACAAGUACCGUGAGGGAAAGUUGAAAAGUACUCUGAAGAGAGAGUAAAUAGCGCGUGAAACCGAUUGCAGGGAAGCUGGUGGAGUCAAGCUUCACGCGGGUAUGAUUUCUGUCCGGUGUAUGUGGUGAUUUAACGGAGUGGAGUUGGCUGGUCAAUGUGGAAAUUCAUUGGCCUCACCUUGUGUGAGGUCUGUGCCCCACUGGGAAGUGGGGAUUGAUGGCCGGUUGACUUGCUCCAUGCUGGGCAGUCUAUUGUACCAUGCGUACAUCACAGUCGAUAGUGACGGUUAACUGACAGUCUAACCCUAUCUCAGUGUUCCACAAGUUCAUUGGAUGGGGAAUGGCAGGUAGCGGCUGGUCCACUCGUUGGGCUGGACGUGAAUGUGGUUUAGACUUGCUGACGGUCAGUGGAGUGCAACCUGUUGCUAUUGUUUAUCAGCUGUGUGAGUUGGUCUACGGACUGGCUUGCGGUCAGUACUGUGAUGCUGANGUAGACGUUCCACCCGACCCGUCUA
rnacentral:rRNA from 1 species